UGCAUCAUGAUUUACAUUUGAGUGAGUGGCGAACUGGUGAGUAACACGUGGGAAACCUGCCCAGAAGCGGGGGAUAACACCUGGAAACAGAUGCUAAUACCGCAUAACAACUUGGACCGCAUGGUCCGAGUUUGAAAGAUGGCUUCGGCUAUCACUUUUGGAUGGUCCCGCGGCGUAUUAGCUAGAUGGUGGGGUAACGGCUCACCAUGGCAAUGAUACGUAGCCGACCUGAGAGGGUAAUCGGCCACAUUGGGACUGAGACACGGCCCAAACUCCUACGGGAGGCAGCAGUAGGGAAUCUUCCACAAUGGACGAAAGUCUGAUGGAGCAACGCCGCGUGAGUGAAGAAGGGUUUCGGCUCGUAAAACUCUGUUGUUAAAGAAGAACAUAUCUGAGAGUAACUGUUCAGGUAUUGACGGUAUUUAACCAGAAAGCCACGGCUAACUACGUGCCAGCAGCCGCGGUAAUACGUAGGUGGCAAGCGUUGUCCGGAUUUAUUGGGCGUAAAGCGAGCGCAGGCGGUUUUUUAAGUCUGAUGUGAAAGCCUUCGGCUCAACCGAAGAAGUGCAUCGGAAACUGGGAAACUUGAGUGCAGAAGAGGACAGUGGAACUCCAUGUGUAGCGGUGAAAUGCGUAGAUAUAUGGAAGAACACCAGUGGCGAAGGCGGCUGUCUGGUCUGUAACUGACGCUGAGGCUCGAAAGUAUGGGUAGCAAACAGGAUUAGAUACCCUGGUAGUCCAUACCGUAAACGAUGAAUGCUAAGUGUUGGAGGGUUUCCGCCCUUCAGUGCUGCAGCUAACGCAUUAAGCAUUCCG
rnacentral:rRNA from 2 species